CCUACGGGUGGCUGCAGUGGGGAAUAUUGGACAAUGGGCGAAAGCCUGAUCCAGCCAUGCCGCGUGUGUGAAGAAGGCCUUCGGGUUGUAAAGCACUUUCAGUGGGGAAGAAAGCCUUGGGGCUAAUACCCUCGAGGAAGGACAUCACCCACAGAAGAAGCACCGGCUAACUCCGUCCAGCAGCCGCGGUAAUACGGAGGGUGCGAGCGUUAAUCGGAAUUACUGGGCGUAAAGCGCGCGUAGGCGGUCUGAUAAGCCGGUUGUGAAAGCCCCGGGCUCAACCUGGGAACGGCAUCCGGAACUGUCAGGCUAGAGUGCAGGAGAGGAAGGUAGAAUUCCCGGUGUAGCGGUGAAAUGCGUAGAGAUCGGGAGGAAUACCAGUGGCGAAGGCGGCCUUCUGGACUGACACUGACGCUGAGGUGCGAAAGCGUGGGUAGCAAACAGGAUUAGAUACCCGAGUAGUC
rnacentral:rRNA from 1 species